rnacentral:rRNA from 1 species
UACAGAGGGUGCAAGCGUUGCUCGGAAUCAUUGGGCGUAAAGGGUUGGUAGGUGGUCUCAUUUGUCCGGGGUGAAAUCCUUGAGCUUAACUCAAGAAGUGCCCUGGAAACGGUGAGACUGGAGUCUUGGAGAGGGUCGCGGAAUUCCCGGUGUAGCGGUGAAAUGCGUAGAGAUCGGGAGGAACACCAGAGGCGAAGGCGGCGACCUGGACAAGUACUGACACUGAACAACGAAAGCGUGGGGAGCAAACAGG